rfam:Ictidomys tridecemlineatus contig098220, whole genome shotgun sequence.
AUAGGUUUUUGCUCAUGCACCAUGGUUGUCUGAGCAUGCAGCAUGCUUGUCUGCUCAUACGCCAUGGUUCCUGAGCAGGAGCCUUC